AGGAGUUUGGAUCCUGGCUACAGAACGAACGCUGGCGGCAUGCCUAACACAUGCAAGUCGAACGAUGCUUUCGGGCAUUGUGGCGCACGGGUGCGUAACGCGUGGGAAUCUAGCCCUCAGGUUCGGAAUAACAGUUGGAAACGACUGCUAAUACCGGAUGAUGACGUUAAGUCCAAAGAUUUAUCGCCUGAGGAUGAGCCCGCGUAGGAUUAGCUAGUUGGUGUGGUAAGAGCGCACCAAGGCGACGAUUCUUAGCUGGUCUGAGAGGAUGAUCAGCCACACUGGGACUGAGACACGGCCCAGACUCCUACGGGAGGCAGCAGUGGGGAAUAUUGGACAAUGGGCGCAAGCCUGAUCCAGCAAUGCCGCGUGAGUGAUGAAGGCCUUAGGGUUGUAAAGCUCUUUUACCCGGGAUGGUAAUGACAGUACCGGGAGAAUAAGCUCCGGCUAACUCCGUG
rnacentral:rRNA from 1 species